ACGAAGUGUCAUGUCAUCACACCUUGUCACGGACACCUCAUUGUCACGCCAUCACCUUCGAUGACAUGGCAAUGACGUGUUAGUAACAAGACGUGAUGACGUGACACUUCGU
rnacentral:pre_miRNA from 1 species